CGCCUGUUUAUCAAAAACAUAGCCUAUAGAAUUCUUUAUUAUAGGUAUUUAUCCUGCCCAGUGAAAUUUUUAACGGCCGCGGUAUCCUGACCGUGCAAAGGUAGCAUAAUCAUUUGCCUUCUAAUUAAAGGCUAGUAUGAACGGAAAAAUGAGGACUUCCCUGUCUCUUUUAUAGCCUUAUAAACUAACCUUCAGGUGAAGAGGCCUGAAUAUUAUUAAAAGACAAGAAGACCCUGUCGAGCUUAACUUUAUUAUUUUAGAACUACAUUUUUACUUUAUUUAUAAGUUUUGUUGGGGCGACAAAGGAGAAAAUAAAACCUCCUUGACUACUAAAGACCUUUAGUCAUUCUUUAGAUCCAUUAUAUGAUCUUCUAUUUUAGCUACCGCAGGGAUAACAGACUUAUUUUCCUCAAGAGCCCAUAUCUACAGGAAAGUUUGGCACCUCGAUGUUGGCUUAGGGUAUCUAUUAAGUGUAGCCGCUUAAAAAAGAAGGUUUGUUCAACCUUUAAUCCCCUACGUGAUCUGAGUUCAGACCGG
rnacentral:rRNA from 1 species